CUGCCCCCCGGUUCCGGUGCGGCGGCGACCAGGGGUCGCAGAAAAUGACGUUUCUUGCGAAAUGCAAAGGGGAACUAAUUUUUGGCAAAUCUUUUUAAUUCAUUUUCAUGAAUAUGUGAUGAAUGAAGGCCACAGCACAACUUCGGCCGUGAGGAUGUUACAAAAAGCAGCUGUGAAAGAAAUGUGGUGGAAAUGUGAGGCGUUGCAUUCAGACAGAAGGAAGGAAGACCAUGAACACCAUGAUACAGGAUUGAAUUUCUGUUGUAUACCUGUUAAUAGACCUUACUGUUGAAGACAUAUUGUAGAAUACUAAGCAGAGAGUAAUGUGUUUAUUCUGGUUUAUAUGGUGAUACAAUGCAUUGGUUUUCCUAAUAAUUGUUUAUUGGUUCUGGCCAAUUGAGAAUUUUUAAUCUGACUUGAAAAUCCUAUGAGUAUAAUUAAAAAAAAACCUG